GACAGAGGGUGCGAACGUUGUUCGGAAUUACUGGGCGUAAAGCGCGUGUAGGCGGCAACGCAAGUCGGGCGUGAAAUCCCACGGCUCAACCCCGGAAGUGCAUUGGAUACUGGGAGGCUGGAGUACCGGAGAGGAGGGUGGAAUUCCUGGUGUAGCGGUGAAAUGCGUAGAUAUCAGGAGGAACACCGGUGGCGAAGGCGGCCCUCUGGACGGAUACUGACGCUGAGACGCGACAGCGUGGGGAGCAAACAGG
rnacentral:rRNA from 1 species